AGUUUAACACAACCAUCAAUGGACCAAGAGGCUCAGGGGUUGUUGGUGACCGGGGAUCUAGAGAAGGUUCAUCUGUUGCUGAAUGGCCACAUGGGGAGGAAGUACCUUAUUGGCUUGGUCAGCAGGCUCUUGAAACUGAAAGUGUUCCUAGAGACAAGCACUAGUCAUCACAACUGUCACCCAAUUUGGACUCAAAGCAUCUCUGUAGGACAUCCUCAUACCCCGAGCAGCAGCAAAACCAACAUUUUUCUAGUGAACCAAUUCUAGUUUUUUAUUUUGAUUUUCUUUUCUUUUCUUGUGUUUAAUUUUGAUUGGGGAGGUAGUAGUAGGGGCAUCGGGUAUGAUUUUAAUCCUACUAUUUUUUUCCACUUGUUAACUUUUAUAUAAACCUCUUGAGUAUUAUCUUCUAAACUUUCUGGCUUAUAUUAUUUUUGGUAUAUUUGCUUGACACCUCUGGAGUAAAGUACUUUUUCGAAAUCUCAAUGUUUGUUUCA